UUUUAUGAGAUAAGCUAUUUUUCCUGAGAUGUUCUUGGCUAAUGAAAAAUUGAAGAGAGGAGUUCCCGCCUGCACUGAAAGAAUAGCUCAACAUCUGUCAUCCCAUUCUCUGCCAUGGCCCAAAAUCAGGAAGACUACAGCUGUCCUGUUCCUUUCAGAUACUUCUGGGAUAGCGAGGAACCAAACUGAAGACCCAGAGAAUCUCUUCUGCUGUUUUACUGGAUCAUGACUUUGGUCCAUGACUUACAAGCUUUUACACUGUUUCUUUAGGGGGUGUAAGAGCUGCAACAUCAGGCUCAGCAUGAAUGCAGGUGUCUGAGAUACUGACAGUGACAUCUUUGCUUAUCUCACGUUAUCUACAUUUUUGUACAUUUGGAGCAUGCAUGAAAGCUAUCUAAUGCUACCAGAAACAUCAACAAGUUUACAGUUGUAGGAUAUACUCUAUUGGUGUAAAAAGACAGACCAAGUGUCACUAGGUGUACACACACUCUGCAAGGAGCAGAGGAAGCACUGAUGAUUUUUGCACCCUAUAAACCUCUCCUCAUGCUCUGGGGAUACAUUUGACACUUGAACAUGGGUGCCAUUCUUGACAUCUCUGUGCCUGUUAUUGCUAUUGAGAGGUUCAUUCAGUGUUGGAUCAGGAAGCGUUGCUGGUAUAUCUCUUCAAACAACACCAACAGCUAAGCAGGAAGAAUUGUGGACUUCCAAGGCAGGAUUCUGAGUUCUUUGACUGCCAGUGCUGCAUCUGUAGAUGUCUCCAUGUCUCCCUAAGCUUAUGUGACAUCCAACUGAGACUUCUAAAAUGCUCUGUUCAAGUUCAUUCAAGGAUCUGGCUCUUCAUCUCCAUGUGUUUUGAUUUCCCAAUUCUGAAAUAGUUAGAAAGCCUAUGCUCUACAGAAGAACAUGAAAGGCUGGGAGGUGACAUGUUUCUAUUGAACACUGAUGACUUGAAAUCUGCCCCCGCAGUUCAGAAGUACACAGUGCUACUGUAGAAUUCAAAUGCUUGCUGGCCACCUAUUUGUCCAACAGCAGGGAAAAAGACAUACCUGGGGCAUUUAGUAGCAAUAAGAAAGCAUUCCAGAUCCUUAGCUGCAGAAAGUGACUCUCAAUUGACUUUCUGAUAUUGUACUUGAAUUUAUGUUGUUUGGCACUUGCUGUAUAUGCCAAUUUUUUAUUGUGUAAAUAUGACAGAAGCAUAUUGAUCCCUUGUCCUAAGUGCUUAAUCAAACUCAAUUAUACUGCUAACCAUAAACUAGCUAACUGAAAGUUACUGCCUCAAAGUGUUACUAACUAUGGAUCAGACUUGAAUAAAGAAAGUAAUCAUUUAUGUUAUUUUUCUUGG
rnacentral:lncRNA from 1 species